rnacentral:rRNA from 1 species
GACGAACGCUGGCGGCGUGCUUAACACAUGCAAGUCGAACGGAAAGGCCCUGCUUUUGUGGGGUGCUCGAGUGGCGAACGGGUGAGUAACACGUGAGCAACCUGCCCUUGACUUUGGGAUAACUUCAGGAAACUGGGGCUAAUACCGGAUAGGAGCUCCUGCUGCAUGGUGGGGGUUGGAAAGUUUCGGCGGUUGGGGAUGGACUCGCGGCUUAUCAGCUUGUUGGUGGGGUAGUGGCUUACCAAGGCUUUGACGGGUAGCCGGCCUGAGAGGGUGACCGGCCACAUUGGGACUGAGAUACGGCCCAGACUCCUACGGGAGGCAGCAGUGGGGAAUAUUGCACAAUGGGCGGAAGCCUGAUGCAGCAACGCCGCGUGCGGGAUGACGGCCUUCGGGUUGUAAACCGCUUUCGCCUGUGACGAAGCGUGGGUGACGGUAAUGGGUAAAGAAGCACCGGCUAACUACGUG